ensembl:lncRNA
GCCUGAUCUCAUCAAUCUAGCGGGAGAGACGGGAUAACCUGUCUGAAAGUAUAGUACCACUAGCGCUCCGCCGAAAAAACACUAAAAAAAAAAAAAAAUCACCAAAAAUAACUUGGAGCAAAAGACAAUYCGCGAAGCUUCGCCAGGGUUGACGCAGUGGGUUUUGACCUUUAGGAAAGAGCCAAUUCUGGAAAACAACCUAACUUCUUUGAUUGAAUACACACAUAAUGCUUUGGAACAUGAUAGGAGAUUAAGGUUUAAUAAUGACAAAAUGAAGACCACAAUAAAACAGCCCCCUACUAGCCCAGGAAUUCUUACUUUGUGCUCUCAUUUCUAA